rnacentral:rRNA from 1 species
UACGUAGGGUGCAAGCGUUGUCCGGAAUUAUUGGGCGUAAAGAGCUCGUAGGCGGUCUGUCACGUCGGCUGUGAAAUCCCGAGGCUCAACCUCGGGUCUGCAGUCGAUACGGGCAAACUAGAGUAUUGCAGGGGAGACUGGAAUUCGUGGUGUAGCGGUGAAAUGCGCAGAUAUCAGGAGGGACACCGGUGGCGAAGGCGGGUCUCUGGGCAAUAACUGACGCUGAGGAGCGAAAGCGUGGGGAGCGAACAGG